UGAUGGAACUGAGAUCGCAGAGACUGGAGUAGUUGAUGGAGCUCAUAUCACGUCAACGUCUGAGACAACUUCAGAAACGCAAACUGAAGACGCAGGAGUGCAUAGUCGCGAAAAAGAGAGUAUUGUUCAAGAAGAGCAGGCUCUCGGAAGAGGUCACCGAAUCUCUCAACCAUCUGUGAGGCUCAAGGACUACAUCGCUUACAAUUCUCAGUGUCUUCUCGAUAAACAAACUCCCGCUUCACCUGCAAUUCCAUCACGGCCUUCGAACUCGGUCCAAGGUACGUCAUCCUACCCCAUCUCUUCGUAUGUUACUGAUGCACUGUUUUCAGAGAAACACCAAGUCUUUCUUGCAGCUAUCACAGUAGUA
rnacentral:lncRNA from 1 species